GAUGAACGCUGGCGGCGUGCCUAAUACAUGCAAGUCGAGCGAACAGACGAGGAGCUUGCUCCUCUGACGUUAGCGGCGGACGGGUGAGUAACACGUGGAUAACCUACCUAUAAGACUGGGAUAACUUCGGGAAACCGGAGAUAAUACCGGAUAAUAUAUUGAACCGCAUGGUUCAAUAGUGAAAUACGGUUUUGCUGUCACUUAUAGAUGGAUCCGCGCCGCAUUAGCUAGUUGGUAAGGUAACGGCUUACCAAGGCAACGAUGCGUAGCCGACUUGAGAGGGUGAUCGGCCACACUGGAACUGAGACACGGUCCAGACUCCUACGGGAGGGAGCAGUAGGGAAUCUUCCGCAAUGGGCGAAAGCUUGACGGAGCAACGCCGCGUGAGUGAUGAAGGUCUUCGGAGCGUAAAACUCUGUUAUUAGGGAAGAACAAAUGUGUAAGUAACUAUGCACGUCUUGACGGUACCUAAUCAGAAAGCCACGGCUAACUACGUG
rnacentral:rRNA from 1 species